AAUUUGUUAACUUGAGCCAGAAUGCAUCACCAGCAGCACCUCGCUUAUCUCGGUGACGUCUUUUUCCGGAAGUCAAACCAGUCUGUUCUCUGGCUGGGCUGUUUGUGACGCCGUCUGUUCCGGACUCGCUCCUCUUGCAGCUGAAAAAGCUCUGGCACCGCAAACUUACUGCUGUUUUAGUUCAUGAUAAGUGCGACACAGCGUAAUAAUCAAGAAAAUCCAUCUAAAUAAAGUCAUCCUUCCGGAAAACCUCAGCGAGACAAUCGACACGCCAAGGUGCAGAUUUGGGAGAGGAUAUUUAGUGAGCUCGCGAAACUUCAGGUCGGGAUGCUGACAAUCGGCGAUUUGGCGAUCACAAUGGAGGGCGUGGAAAACGGGACGGACGGUGAACAUGAACCAGCAGUACUUGAUUCGGACUCCCGGUGGCGUUCAUGUUCAAGGACAAAACCUUUGCUGCGGCACCGUUCCUGCAGCUUAGCAACAGCUAAGAAGAUGUAAAUCGCGAGGAAGGUGAAAUGGCAUUCGACAGUCGGGUUGCAUUGAUAGAGGCGGAAAAUGAGAUGAUGGAGUUUGAGAUAGAAUCCGCCAAGUAGGAACCUACCAAGGAGGAAGGCGCCAGCGACAUUUCGACAAUCGAGGGUGACAUUCUUUUCUUA